rnacentral:rRNA from 1 species
UACGAGGGGGGCGAGCGUUGUUCGGAAUUAUUGGGCGUAAAGAGCUCGUAGGCGGUUUGUCGCGUCUGCUGUGAAAACGCGAGGCUCAACCUCGCGCCUGCAGUGGGUACGGGCAGACUAGAGUGCGGUAGGGGAGAUUGGAAUCCUGGUGUAGCGGUGGAAUGCGCAGAUAUCAGGAGGAACACCGAGUGGCGAAGGCAGAUCUCUGGGCCGUUACUGACGCUGAG